rnacentral:rRNA from 1 species
UCAGAACGAACGCUGACGGCGCGUCUUAAGCAUGCAAGUCGAACGAGAAAGUAUCCUUCGGGGUACAAGUAAAGUGGCGAACGGGUGAGUAACACGUGGGUAAUCUGCCCUGAAGUUGGGGACAACUCGCUGAAAAGCGUGCUAAUACCGAAUGAGAUAGUCUUUACAUAUGUGAGGAUUAUGAAAGGUUUCGGCCGCUUCAGGAUGAGCCUGCGGUCUAUUAGCUAGUUGGUGAGGUAAAUGCUCACCAAGGCUACGAUAGAUAGCCGGCCUGAGAGGGUGUACGGUCACAUUGGAACUGAGACACGGUCCAGACUCCUACGGGAGGCAGCAGCUAAGAAUAUUCCGCAAUGGGCGAAAGCCUGACGGAGCGACGCCGUGUGGUUGAUGAAGGCCUUACAGGUUGUAAAAACCUUUUAUUCGAGAAGAUGGGCAAGCCUCGAGCUUGCUUGACGGUAUCGAACGAAUAAGCCCCGGCAAAUUACGUGCCAGCAGCCGCGGUAAUACGUAAGGGGCUAGCGUUGUUCGGAAUUAUUUGGGCGUAAAGGGCGUGCAGGCGGACUAAUAAGUCGGGUGUGAAAUCUUAUGGCUUAACCAUGAGCUAUUGCUCGAAACUGUUAGUCUAGAGUUUGGAAUAGGGAGACGGAAUUCCUAGUGUAGGAGUGAAAUCUAUAGAUAUUAGGAAGAACACCGGUGGCGAAGGCGGUCUCCUGGUCUAAAACUGACGCUAAAGCGCGAAAGCUAGGGUAGCAAACGGGAUUAGAUACCCCGGUAGUCCUAGCCGUAAACGUUGCAUACUAGGUGUAUGAGGUGUCGAUCCCUCAUGUGCCAAAGCUAACGCAUUAAGUAUGCCGCCUGGGGAGUAUGCUCGCAAGAGUGAAACUCAAAGGAAUUGACGGAGGCCCGCACAAGCGGUGGAGUAUGUGGUUUAAUUCGAUGCAACGCGAAGAACCUUACCUGGGUUUGACAUCCUCGGAACCUUCUUUAAACGGAAGGGUGCCCUUCGGGGAGCCGAGUGACAGGUGCUGCAUGGCUGUCGUCAGCUCGUGCCGUGAGGUGUUGGGUUAAGUCCCGCAACGAGCGCAACCCUUGAUCUUAGUUGCCAGCACAUAAUGGUGGGCACUCUAAGGUGACUGCCCGGGUCAACCGGGAGGAAGGUGGGGACGACGUCAAGUCAUCAUGGCCCUUACGCCCAGGGCUACACACGUACUACAAUGGCGGAUACAGAGGGAAGCAAGACCGCGAGGUGGAGCCAAUCCCAAAAAGUCCGUCCCAGUUCGGAUUGGAGUCUGCAACUCGACUCCAUGAAGGUGGAAUCGCUAGUAAUCCCGGAUCAGCAUGCCGGGGUGAUACGUUCCCGGGCCUUGUACACACCGCCCGUCACACCACGAAAGCUGGUUCUACCCGAAGCCGGCGAGCCAACCUUAGGGAGGCAGUC